AUCGCCUCGCGGCCUGUUGGCUUAGAUUAAAGUGUAGUGUCUGUUAUUAUCAGUUUAAUAUAUGAUACAUCCCCUAUUUUUGGGUGACUUGGUGGCACAGCAA
rnacentral:snRNA from 1 species